rnacentral:lncRNA from 1 species
AUCAGCUCUCUGCCUUCCAGCCAGAUAUUGUCAUUGCAGCAGAGUGUGGCUGUGCCCGGCCACUUUCUAAGCUUUGUGAAGAGCGAGUUGACUGAGCAGCCAGGUAGAUAUGGGUUCAGAUCUCUGCUUCUGUCCUGCUGUGCCAAGUGCUGGGGCAGACGCAGGCAGAGAGUGGACAGCGGCAUGGUUCCUGCUGCUAGCCAUUUCUAUGCAAAACCAGAUGUCUGGUCCCAUCCUGGAGGCCAAUUCUAGGUACGUGGGUGGGCCUGGGAACCUGUGAAACAAGUAAACUGACUUAGACACCCCCCACCCCACCAGGCCUGUCCUAGCAGCCCCACACAAAACACUCAUGUCCUGUCCCCAUACACCGCCAUCCUUAAACACAUGCUUUGUUUCCAGGCCGGGCCGGGAUCAGAUGGGAAGCGGAAGCUCAUCAUGACCAGAAACUGUUACCCUACGGAGAGCACUUGGAGAUGGCAAUGCUGAACCUCACACUGUAGGACUCACACACGACUCUAACGGGAUUGUGAGAAUCAAGUCACUCUCGUGGGAAGAAUUUUUAUAUGGGAAAGCGGCUAAAACUUUCAUUGGACUGGAAUGUUUGGAAAAUGUUAAAUUCCAAAUCAGGAACCACAAACUGCCCUCUAAUAAGACAUCAGCUAUCUAAGCGUGUGGGUGCCGCCUUUCUGCCAGUAGUUCCGGUUCUUAAGAAAAUCACCAUAAAUCAGACAUGAAAAUUCUGGCUCCAAAAAUAGCAUUUUCUUUGUGCAAAUAAAAACGUGUGUAUCACGUAUGACAUUCCCCCAACGUGGACACACUUGGUUCCUCACAAAGCCAAGCCCGCUGCAGCUGCCACAUCCCUGGACACACUCCGUUCCUCACAAAGCCAAGCCCGCUGCAGCUGCCACAUCCCAGGGCUUAUGGUGCAGCAGGUGCUUUUUUCAAGACAGGAAUCAAAGUGUUAGGAACACGGCAGAAAGGUGACACCUGGAGACCAAAUGCAGGAUGAGGAGUACUGCAGAGGUCACAGGGAAGUCAUAGAACAGUAAUAUGCUAGCAGGGGCAUGGGGCGUGAACAGAAGAAGACAGGAAGCCUUUCGGAGACUCCAAAGAAGAAAUCAGGGCCAAUCACAGCUUCCCGGGUCAUUCACCAGGUGGCACCACUGCCGUCAUUUCAGCUUCUGGCCACUGGGAGGCGCUGCUCGAAAGGAUUUGCCCUGAGACUCCAAGAAGAAGCUGCGGGAAGGACAGCAGGGGCUCUGGGGUUUUAGCCUCUGGCCCAGGAGUUAUGUGUCCAUAACCAAAGGGAGCAGAGUCUGCACCCAGCUCUCAUCCCAUCAGAGCUGCUGCGACUCCUGCAGGUUCUUCCGGAACUGGUUUAGCUUGCCUGCAGGAUCAGGAAAGUUUGAGAAAAGCAUCUGCAAAAUGCUAAAGAGCAGAGCUUACCUCAUUGCCUGUCCCCACCCCAUCCCAGGUCACCACCUGGAUGACCCCAGCUCCCCGACCCAACAACAACCCCUCCCAAGUCCCUAAUUCCCUCACUUGGACUUGAGACCCUUCACACCCCAGCAGCGCUCCGCCUCCAACUUGACAUCAUGCUUUCUGGAAACUUCCCCGUAUGUCCCACUUUCCCACACUUGGUGCCCUGGAGCACCUUCCGGCCUCUACAUGCUGUACGUUCCCCUGUGAGCACCCUCCUCUCGGCCUCUGGCCAACACAGUCCCACCCAUCUGUGGGUAACAAGGGGGUGUGGGUGUUCUUUGCAGCCUUGCUAAACUGUCUGAAUCAAGGAUCACAAACUACAGCCUGCAGGCCAAAUCCAGCCCACAGCCUGUGUUUGUAAAUAAAGCUUUAUUGGAACAAAGCCACACCCCUUAAUCUACAGAUGAUCUGUGGCUACUUUCACACCACAACAGAGUACCAUGGUUCUGACAGAGACUGGGGGACCCAGUCUAAAUGACUUCUGAUCUGGACCUUUACUGAAAAUCCUCCCAAUCAUUCUGUUGACAAGAAUGGUGUAUUACUUUUUGCAAUAAGAAACAAGUAACCUUUGCAGAAUUUCACCCAUCUUUCAAGGCUGAUCCCAGAAGUUCCCUCUGCCCACGCACCUACCUGAUCCUGAUCACUUCCUAAACUGCAGCCCAGCCCACCCGGCUCCAGCAUCAUUUGUGGAGUGUCAGCUCCAGAAAUCCAGAGAGCAGGUGGGGUUGUGUCCUAAUUUUCCCGAGCCUACUGUACCAAAAUGGGACAGCAGAGUAGGAAGCCUCUGUGACUUCUGCUCCCUCCCUAGCUUUUCCACCAGGACCCCCAUGGUCCCACCCUGGCUGUGUGAAGCAGGGAUCAGGGAGCGUGGCUCGAUGUCAGUCUCCAGAACCCUGCCCACCCUGGUGUGGUGGCAGAC